rnacentral:lncRNA from 14 species
CAGCCCUUGACAUCAGUUUUCUGUUUUAUUUCAGUGCAACUAUUUUAGUCAUUAUUAUUAUAUUUUAUUAAUUCCUGUCUUUCAGGUCUUGUUGUGGUCUCUUAUUGGAUGCACUUCCUGGCCUUGUGCUUGACACAGCAAAAGGAGAUAUGGCACUGCGGAUGAGCAUACCGAGGAAGCUGCUUAUGGUAAGUAGGUGGAACUAGAGAGAAUAACAGUGCAUCCAUUUGGAACUUCAGCUCUGUGGCAAGCAUGUGUCUUGCUGAUCUGCUUUGAAAGCUCAGGGCAAAGGCACUACCUUGUCCAGCAGCACAAUCACUUCUUUUGAAGUCAUUGACUCUUCAGAGGUUUGCUCCAUCUGAAGCAUUGUCUGCUUUUUUGCACUGCCUUUCUUUGGUAUCACAGUGUCCUUGGAUAGGUUGCUUCCUUAUAAAUGUAAUGGUGUUUGCUUUGGUUGCUUCCUUAUAAAUGUAAUGGUGUUUGCUUUGGAACAGUCAGACAAGCUUAGCUCCUGUUGGGCCAAGCUUUUGCAUCUUUAGAAGUCAGCUAAGCUGUAAAUUGUUCUGUGAUCUCAUUGCAGCAUCCGGUUGUGCUGCUGGUCAGCACACAAAGAACAGGUCCCUUUUUCAGCUACACCAGCAAGUCUUUUCGCACAGCAGCAGGUGGAUGGUGCUGACUCAAGGAAAGAGCUGAGCAGCCCUGGACACUGAGCUGUGAUUGGUGAGUCUGGCGGAUACUACUGUUUACAAAGCUAAUGUUUAUAACUUGUUAUUGUAUUUGUAGAAUUGUAUAUUUUGUAAUAUUGUAUUUGUAAAAACACAGUAGGAAGCUACAGCCUUGGCAGAGAUCAUUCUGUGCAUGAGAACAUGGGAAACUCCAGAGGCCUGACAAGACAAUUGACCUUGGUUAUGCCUGCCAAGCAUCUUCUUAUUGUCCAGUAACAAGGCUCAGGGUACUGGGAUCGCUCACUAUGUGGCCUUGGCUCUGCAAGAAUUCCACAAAUCCCCCUUCUUGGUUUUGAGGGAUCCAGAUAACCUUUACAGCUUCUUCUGUUAGCAGUUCUCAUCCCAACUGAACUGCUCCUCCAAGUCCUGGAUUUACCCCCAGGUUACAAACUACCCUAAUACUUUCUUUUUCCACUCCUCAGGUGCAGUGUCCAUCAUGGCCAUUCCACCGGGGGAGCACUUGGAGCCGAAUUGGAGGGCAGUUCAUCUGAACAUGGGUACGAAACUUGUUUCAGAAGUGGCUCACCCUGCUUUAGGU